AGGGAAUUGAAACUAUCCACAAGAUAAUGAUCAAAUGGUAUUAAGAUUCUGGGUAUAAGGUGCUGUUCAAAUUAAGAGUUUAUCAUCUACAGAGGAUCUUCAUGGCUGGUAGAACUCCAAGAUUAGUAAAAGCAAGGCCGAGUCUCACAGAUAAAUCAGAUUUUUGAACAGUCACAAGAAGAGAUAUGAAGGACACUGACCAGACUGUACCCCAAGUGUCUGUGAUGAGUCCAUGAUGAGAAGAAAGGAAGAGAUGGAGAAACAAUGAUACAGAAGAAGAAGGACAUUGUCAGAACAUAGUGGCUGAGAAUGUGCAUCCAUAUCAUGUCAAAAUACAGGUCUGUACAACUUUACUAAUGAUAUUACUGGCCAAAGUGUUUGUUUUAAUGCUAUGAAUAGCCAUAUUUCUAUUACAGACAGACUCACCAGCAUUGUGUUAUAACUGAAAACGCGAGUUAUAGAGACUUGUUGGACCCCAUUCUUAUCACAAAUGAUAUCCAGGUAGAAUCUCAAGGAGAACCCACUAACUUUCCACACGUGAAAAACAAAAGCUUACAUACUUAAGUUCCAGGAAUCUUUUAAUAUUUCAUGGAUCUCUAUCAAAAUCUCUGAAACAAAUCAUUCAAAAUGAUUUGGGUAUGGAAACAUACCACAAAGGAGAUAGUUCUCCCAUAAUUCCAGAGGACAGUGAUCGAACAGGUUAUCUACUUCCUGACAGAGAACUAAUGGAUAAAAUAUGCACAAUGAGAGACAUUUUUUGGGACAUGGUCAAUAUAGGAAUUUGUUUGGCUUGUC